rnacentral:misc_RNA from 1 species
CUGGGCUUCGCUGGAGCCCCUGUCGCGUGUGCGGCGCGAUGACUCGCAACGACACACCCAGCGGCCCAUUCUCUUUUAUCUGUCUCAGCCCAUCCCCACCUUUUCCCUCGCAGCGGGCGCGUACGCUGUGGGUGUCUCAGCCGUUUUGCAAGAUAGCCAACGCCCGGCUACGCGAAGGACUUGUCUCCAGUGGCAAUCCACUACUACCCCUUCCCAUCUCCCAAACCGCAUUCUUUUCCUGCGGACCCACGGUGCCUCUCUUACGCUUAGAACGUGUCGGCUGGCGCCUCUGCUGGAGCGCGUGGCGCUUGACUACCUCACCGCCCUCCGCCUCCUCUGCAUCCUUCUCUAGAGUGCUUCGAUUCUGUUUUCUGUUUUCUUUAUCAUGCGCUUGGAUGCGAAGCCCAUCGCCAUCUGCAAUGGCAUUCAUCCAGCUCCCCUCUGCUUGAUGUGCGCUCGAGCGCGCGUGCCACGUCUUGUCGCGCACUUGCGUUUUGGAUCCUCUCUGUGUAGCUUUUAUGGGCUGCUUCCUUGACGAGGGCUGGCCUGAAUUUCUUCUGGGUUUCUUUUCUUUGGGCAGGGGAGGGGGCAUGAAACUCGCACGAUCAUGGUGCAGAGCAGAGUCUCGGCCGCUAUCGUUCUAUGGGGACGCGGUCUAGACGGGCGGUGUUGCUCGAUGCGAGCCUGUUGGCGGUGUGGAGCAGUGGCACAUGGGCGCGCUUCGCCACACGCAGGCGAGACGGCGAAGCUGCACCUUGUUUGGGGCACCGAGCAUUACGUCGCCGCGGGGAGUCGGAUGCGUCGAUACCGUGAGUCACGUCGUUUACGUUGGCUCUAAUGCGUCAUUCAUACACUUGUGAUGGCAGCGCAGCAGUCGAAGCACGAGAAGCAUCGGGUUCAGGGGACGCGACGGGAGAUGUGCCAGCCUCUGACAGCUUCUUCUUCCUCACUCCAGCUGGGCAAGUCAACGUCCACGGAUGGGCCAUGGCGUGUGCGCUUGCAUACCGCCACCAGCUUUUCGCUGCCGUGUGGCGGCCUUAGUGGGAGCGUCUGCGAUUUCAGACGACGGCCCGGGCCGUGGCGUGAUGCAAGUUGCCACAUUGCACUAGAAUGGACUCCCCUCCGUGUAAGAAACUGCGAGCCCGUCGGUUUUGACGCGCACCGUACGCAGGCAGGGGGAGGCGAUAGCGAUAACAUGUCAAUAAUGUUUCUUGACAGCUCCAUGUCGCAAGCAUCUUCAAUGGAGCACUGCCAACGCACCGUUCGAGAUGCUCCCUGUGACGCCGUUGUCGUCGCGGGACAUCGUCGGUAUUUCGCUUUCUUCGUUUACAGCCACCGAAGACGACAGCAGAUACGCUACAGAUAGAGCACCCGGCACUGCAGCCGUGGAGGCGUCGGGGCGCUUAGCUCAGUGCUACCGAAAACACAAGUCGAGAAGCCCGUGCAAGGGUGCACGUCUGUUGCACUGAUCAUCUCCUCGCGGGGUGGCCUCGUUGCCGCAUCUGUAUCGCAGCGACUGACAGCGGCGUACGUGACUCGGCCGCCCAUUCAAAAACGAACUGCGCCACAUCGAGCGCAGAUACUGUGAAGUCUCCUCACAGCCUUCACAAUAGGUUCAGACUCGACGCCCUCGCCGUCCACGAGCCAAGACCCAGGAGGAGCUCAUCGGACGUCGGCCGACUAUGGAGCUAUGGCAUCCGCGGAACUCUCGCGAUUGCGUGCGUCGACACUGAUGCGCUCCUUGGCACUCGAGCCGAUUCAAGUGAUAGACACAGUCUGCAACGUAAAAGGGAUUGCGGUGGACGAUUAUGCGCCAUGACUAACGUGCAUUACCAACAGCUGUCCCUGUUCUGCCACUCGUGCAGAGGUGGCCCGGAUGAGCGUAGUGGGGGUGCGCGUAGCGGACUCCUCCAGCGAGGACGAACCCGGAGCUGGUCUGAUGUCUUCGGAGACGGUGCGGCAAGCCAACGGGACAUCAACGUUACAAGAAACGAAUGGUGGGGAAGUCGUGUCGCUGCUUCUCAUCAACGAAGCCGGACUCAUUCACGUCGCCCGGUGUCGCCUUGGCGCGACGACCACUUUGCAAACCGGCACCGUCUUACGUCUCGCUGCCGUUCAGCCCUACGUGAUCAACGCAGAGCCGGCGGCACCACAGGGCGCUGUUUAGGCUACGUCUUUUUUCCUGUUUCGGCGUGUGUCUGUGGUGGUGGGUCAGCUGAUGCCGCUGUUGUGGCAACGAGUCAUGCACUUGUCGGCUGGCAUGUGCGCUGAACCUGCACUCUCUCUGAGGCGAUGUGCAUGUCCUACGCGGCAGCUAUCCGUCUUUUCGCGCAUAGCCCCCUGGAUCCUGCCGCCGUCGCCUCCUCUGCGUGCAGCGCGCUCGCCGUUGACGGAGGCAUUGCUGCAGCCACCUACGCCAGUGGCCGGCAACGCUGCCACGACCACGACAGGUGGCUCCCACACCGAGAGCGGUGCGGCUGAGGAUGUAACUAUGCGCGGCAGCGGCUUUGUGGAGCCGGGGCACCACUGCAACGGCCGAGCUCAGCCCGUCUUGUCGGCUUUGGUUUCCUGGUGUGGCACUCAGCGAAGCCAUCACGGUGACGGCUGCUUUCGUGAACGCGGCGGCGACGUGGAAACGCCCAUGACUCCGCCCCUUUCUCCCAUCUUGAGGCGUCGUUGUCCAAUCCGGGGACGCCAAAGAGCCUACUGUCAUCAUACACGCCAGUGACACAGGCAGGCCGGGGUGAACCGGACCAAACGCUGAUCGGCCGCGGUAGGACACGGGUGCUGUGGGUGCCUUGCCAGUUCAUGCCCUGCUCCUUUUGCGUAGACCCCAACACACAGGAGUACAUCUGGCCCAUAACGUGCCAUCAGUGGGCAGACGUGCAUGUCCUCUGCCCCGAACGUCGUUCCGCAAAGUGAAGACUUGUCCUGGUUUUGGCGAAGAAGGCAGGCGCAGGGCAUUUGGGGUUCAUAUGCUACUCGUUCCCCACUCACCACCCCACCCCACCCCACUCUCUGCCCCGCCCACGUCUCCCCAUCUCUGGUUUCUCGCUAUGUGUGUUGCACCGCAGUGCCUCCGUGCCUCUUUCUGCUCCUCUGUUUUUGCGUCCCCUCCUCGCGUUGGCUCGAGCCGAGUUUCCAACCAAGCAGACAACCCAAUACAACCUCAUAGUGACACGCACACACAGAUGGCGCUUGCGGUUGGCCGGCAGUCAGAGGGAGAAGGGUCCUUCUGCGAGCAGCACCGAGCGUGACCGUGUGAUCCUGUGUGUUUUUGUUCUCUUGUGUUCCCGUUUAAGCUCACAAGAAGAGGGAGGGCGACUCGUGCGCGCGACCCCUUAGCUUUCCUCCGAUGUGAAGAUGCGACGGAGUACGCGUACGCGUGCGAAAACGAUGCCCAACUAUCGAAGCUCACAUGUCUCUCCACAUGCUCCGCUCCUGCCCUGCCCUGCCCUCCUCCCCCAUACCGACCGCCCAACCGACUCACACUCACGUUGACUGAAG